CAUGCAAGGUUUGAGGGAUACCAGGGCCACCUUGACCCUAGUCCACUCCCCACUCAUUCCAGAGACCUAGAAGACCAGUGGGACAGUCACAGUCUGAGUGGCCAGGGGAGAGAUCUACUAUCUACCCACAGCACAGUUGGGCACCGGAAUAUGCCAACCAGUCCAGAGGGAGGUGGGAAAGGAGUAGUCCUAAGCUAGGAGAUCGACGGCCUUUUCCCUCUGUUGAUCACGCCUGGUGUGUAGGUCACAGCAGAAUUCCAAGCUGCAGUACAU